CGGCGAGUGAAGCGGCAACAGCUCAGAUUUGGAAUCUGGCCCCCUCCCGGGGGCCCGAGUUUAAACUGGAGAGGAUGCUUCUGGCGCGGCGCCCGCCGAGUUCCCUGGAACGGGACGCCGGAAAGGGUGAGAGCCCCGUACGGCGGCGCGCCUAGCCUCUGUGAAGCUCCUUCGGCGAGUCGAGUAGUUUGGGAAUGCUGCUCAAAAUGGGAGGUAAAUUUCUUCUAAAGCUAAAUACCGGCCAGAGACCGAUAGCGCACAAGUAGAGUGAUCGAAAGAUGAAAAGCACUUUGAAAAGAGGGUCAAACAGUACGUGAAAUUGUUGAAAGGGAAGCGCCCGUGGCCAGACGCGCGCCCCGGCGGAUCACCCAGCGUUCCUCGCUGGGGCACUCCGCCGGGGCGCGGGCCAGCAUCGGCUUCCGCAGGGGGACAAGGGCGGCUGGGAACGUGGCUCCCCCUUCUGGGGGGAGUGUUAUAGCCCGCCGCGCCAUGCCCCUGGGGAGGCCGAGGACCGCGCCCUCGGGCAAGGAUGCUGGCGUAAUGGCCACCGGCGACCCGUCUUGAAACACGGACCAAGGAGUCAAGCAUUGGGGCGAGUGUCUGGGUGCCAAACCCGCACGCGAAAUGAAAGUGAACGCAGGUGAGAGCCCUCCGGGGCGCAUCACCGACCGAUCCUGAUGUCCUCGGAUGGAUUUGAGUAAGAGCCUUGCCGCUUGGACCCGAAAGAUGGUGAACUAUGCCUGUAUAGGGU
rnacentral:rRNA from 1 species